GGCACGCCUCCAAUGGGAGCCCGAGAGCCGUCAGUAGCCCUGGAGGCCUGCUAACCCGCUAGCUCUCCAGCCGGCUGGAGGGACGCGUCCAGUGCGUUCACUAGAUCCAGCCGCCGGCCCCUCGAAUCCGCUGGCGCUCGGCAGUGGUGGCGCGGAGGCAGGAGGUGUCUGGUCAGCGGGUUGCGGAGGAUCGUGCGGGUAGCAAAGGGAGGGCGAGUGCCCCUGCAGCCCCAGACAACAACCAGAACAUGCAUCACUGUUAGAACCAUCACCCUGCAGCUAGCUUGGACACCAUUAAAAGGGCUCAUCAGCUGCACACGGAUAGAAGUAUCUGGUAUUCGUGAAGACUGAGUUUCAGGGCUGCCACCUGGAGCUACGCCCUCCAGAAGCCCCUGCUUGGCUUCCCUGCACCCAGCGCCACCCCAGCCAGUCACUACUCGGGCUGUGUGUGGUGAUUCUUGGCGACUGGAACCCUGACUCCUCCAGCAGCUCCACAGCCCCUUUGUCCUCAGUGAGCAGAAGACGACAGAAGCUGGCUACUGAAGAGGCUGUCCGAGCCAUAGCACUCCUCCUUGGCUCCACUUAGCACAUUUACCACAGAGCAGUAACGGCGCGCUGGGUGUCCCUUGUUCGUGCUCACUACCCACGGGGAUUGUAAAGGGAUUUGUCAGGCCCCAUUUCACUAAGGCCACCCUGUAAGGAUCUCCACAGGAGGCCGCCCAUAGAGAGAAGUGGCCUGCCUGGGUUCUCCACAGCCUUAAGGCCCACGUGGGCACCUCCAGGACUGAGGGGAUCAGUACCUUUCCACCUACCCAGGAUCUACACAUCAGCUGGAAAGUUCUGCCUCCUAGUUUUUGUUCUUUUGUUUGUUUUUUGGUAGGAAGAGUUUUAACUUGCUUCUUUCAUUCCUGUAGUAAUUAGAGGGCUAUUCGGGAUUUCUUUUUGUUUCUUGAGUCAGUUUUGGUAAGUGAUCGAUUUCUAGGAAUUGGUCCAUUUUAUCUGCAUUCUCGAAUUUAUUGGUAUAAAGAUCCCUUUUUUAAAAAAUCCUCUGCUGCAUAUAAUCUGUAACUAUGUCUCCUUUUUCAUUGCUGAUACUGGUUAUUUGUGCCUUCUCACUUUUUUUCUUGAUCAAUCUCACCAGAGGUUUGUCUAUUUUAUUAGUCUUUUCCAAGAACCAACUUUUGGCUCUGUUGCUCCUCUCUAUUGUUUCUUUGUUUUCUAUUUCUUUGAUUUCCGCUCUUAUCUUUUUUGAUCUCCUUCCGUCCACAUUUUUUGGAUUUAUUCUGUUGUUCUUUUUCUGAUUUCUUAUGUUGGACAUGGAGAUCAUUAAUUUCCAGCCUUUCUUGUUUUGUAACGUGUGCAUUUAAGGAUAUACAUUUCCUUCCAAACACGACUUUUCUACACAUUCAAACAUGUCCUACUUCAUUAUUGUUCGGUUCCGAGUACUUCAACAUUUCCAUCAUGGUUACUUCUUUAGUGAGUGAUAUAGAAGUGUGUUUAUAAAUUUCUAAAUGUGCGGGGAAUUUUUAAUGUAUCUCUUUGUUAUUGAAAUCUAUCUUAAUUGUAUUAUGGUAUGAGUCUGUGGUCCGUGUGAUAACAACUCUGAAAUUUAUUGAGACUUGUUUUAUGGCUUAGUACAUGAUCAAUAUUUUUGAGUGUUUCGUAUGUGCUUUGUAAGAUGUAUGUUCUCUAAUUGUUGAACACAGAGUUCUACAUAUGUCUACUAUCAAGUUUGUUAAUUAUAUUGUUCAAAUUUUCUAUAUCUACACUGAUUUUUUGGUUGUGCUAUGCCAGUAAUUGUAAGAGGUAUGUGCAUUUUCAAUUAUGAUGGUGGAUUUGUCUGUUUCCCCUUAUAGUUCUUUUUUUUUUUUUUAAAGAUUUUAUUUAUUUAUUCGACAGAGAU